AGCAGAGAAAGCAAGGAAGAAAGGCGUAGAGGAUGAAGUCAGAUUAGUGACUAAGUUACAGUGAGAACAAACUUCACUGUGAGUGAGGUGUGGGCAUGGGACAGGCUGAACGGAGGGAUGUCCUAACAGAACUCACGUUUUGAAAGGAUGGUUUUGCCGGGUGACUUCUUAGCAGCACUCUGGGCAAGGGCGGCUGCAGGGAGAGCCACUAGGAAGCAAAUGUAGCAAUUCAGGUAUGAGAAAAACACUGGCUUGGACCACAGUGGCAGCGGAGGAGGUUGUAAGAAGCAAGUCAGUUUUGGGCUGAUAAGAAGGCAAAGCCAAGCCAACGGGAUUUUCUCAGUGAUUAGAUGUGGCACUGUAAAAAGUCAAUUUUUAAAAAUCCAGAAUUUUUCAGAGGUUUCUGACACCAAAUGCUCAAAAGUUGAGUGGCCUUUAUUGCGUAAGAAGCAGGGUUAUGUGAAAAGUGGGAACUUCCUCAGCCAUCCAGCACAGUGAAACUUAAGGGAUGGACAAAGGAAGACAACCCAAUAAAGACACAUCAAAGGAGAAGCCUGAGAAGGAAGAUAAAACAAACAAUGAAAUCUAUUUCUACUGAGAACAAGAAAGUGAAUGAUACUUCACUUCUUAAGUGGGAAGAUGGACUAUUAAUGUCACCUUCCAAGACUAUACCAUUUAGCCUAAGGGCUAGACAAUGAGUUCGUCUGAAAUAAGCAGAGAAAGCUUUUCUUACAGAGAAGAACCAAGGGUUGCUUGGUGGAUUGGGCAAGGCUCGAAAACUGUAUUGUAAAGAAGAAAAAGUAGAGCGAAGAACAAAUAACUUAAACAGUAUUACCCUUAUACCCUCAGGACUGUAAUGUGGUCAGUGCUGGCCCAUGCGUUGUCUCUGUAGGAUGAUGAGAAGUAUCAAGACUGCACACGAUGAGAAUCUUUACAGGAAGAAAAAAGACUUGAGACAAGCACACUAGUUUUCUACCGAUUUUGUAACAAAUUAACAUAAACAAAUUAUAAAAAAAAGACCCACAGAUUUUUUUACUGUACAGUUCUGGAGUUCAGAUACACAAACUGGGUUUUACUGGACUAAAAUAAAGGAAUCUAAAGGGCCACAGUCCCUCUGAAGUCUCUAGGGAAAAUCACUUUCCUUGACUUUUUCAGUUCAAGAGGCCCCCUGCAUUUUGGCUCAUGGUCCCUUUCCUCCAUCUCUAAGCCCGCAGCAGCCCCUGCUGUCUAUUGCAUAGUGUCUCUAUCUCCUUAAAAUUGGCCCCAAAUUUCAUACAGAAUAUCUGAAUGAAACAAAGGCAAAGCUUUAGUGGUGAGCAUGAGAUGGCAAGUCUUUUCUUCAUAAUCGUCCUAACAGAAAGAAACUGUACCCGUUAUCUGCCCAGCAGGACCUUGACCUCUUUAAGAACCAGCGACGACUUGACAGGAAAGGAAAGUGAAGUAUAAACCACUGCUUCAAAACCAGCAGCUGCCACAAACUGUAGUGACCUUUCAGUGUCCCACCGACUUCCACUCUCUUGCUUCCGGCAGGGGUUAGAAUCUAACAUUUCUUUACAAUGGCCUCUCUAACUCCUUGGACUCAAGGUUAUUACAGGAAAAGAUUGGAAAUGAAGAGAGAGAUGACAGCAUUGUCCUGUUGUUAUAUCCAAAGCUCCAUUUGAAGACAUGUAAACUUGCACCAGUGUCUGUAUAAUCACACAUUUGAAUACAAGUUCACUGGAAUCCUGAAGUCGUAUCCUGAAUAUAUCUUAAGAAGUGGAUCUCAGUGUUCCAAGACAUAGUCUCUGGUAUACUAAGGGAGGAGCUAUGCAGAUCUCUCUUCAAGGAAGGGCUUCCUUCCCAACUACAGGGAGUGUGGUUAGCAGACCAACUCCAGCUGUCAACCCCUCAAAAUGGAAUUGCCUGAGAUCUCUACCUCUGGACAGCCCACACUGGUGACUGAGGAAGGAAGGGAUGUGAAGACCUGGUGAUUUGGGCUCAACUGGAAUGAUUUUGACGAGUAUUACUUGUUUGGGGCUGAGGCUCUUUCUGGCUGUACCACAGUUUGACUUCUUCCUCUGCACAGUCCCCCUUUCUCCCCUGUUCCCUUUUAUGGUAUCUACUGAUCCCUAAUUAAUACCUUCCUUGUACACUUUCAUUUUAGCAUCUUCUCUCAGAGAGCCAGACUGGCUGCAUGCUCCCAGAAGUACAAGUGAAUACCUGCACUCACAGGAACUGGAAGAAGGCUUCUCAGAAAUUCUCCUGUGCCUGGCAUGCAGUAUUAUUUCAUAACACUUGCUGGCUGGAACUGAAAUGCUGGAUGUUUAAUUAUACAGUAUACGUAGUCAUGACCUAAGUAAUCAUACUCCCUCAGUAGACAUAUUCAGAACUCUAAACUUUGGGCAUGGAGAAGGCUGGGGGGAUGGCAGAUGGUAGAAGAAUACAUUGUGCAAGUUUGUGAGAGAAAACUUCUCCAAGUGGCUGUUUGGACCUAAACAAUAAGCAGAGAUGAGUACAGAUGAAGGUGAAAUUUGAGUGCUGACAGAGGAAUUAAAUGUAACAGAAAUGGAGUAAUGAUGUAAAAAAACAAAUGGGGAAAAUGGUGGAGCCCAAGACAAUGAUCAGUGCUGAGUACUUGUCGAACAUUGUCUCCUUAUUUCUAGUAACAAUGGUACAAAAGAAGUACUAUUAUUUAAUAUUGGGCCAGGAAAAACCUGAUGCUCAGCAACAGUCAUAUAUUCUUUGUAAAACUGCUUGAGGGGUAACACUAUCAAUCCACAGUAUAGAGGAGCAGACAGAAAUAAAAUUUGGAAGUUGUGACACCAUUGCACAAUCUAUUACUGGAAACUACCUGUCCCCAGACUUCUAUUUACACGGAAAUUAAAAAGCCUUAUUUGUUUAAGCCAUUUUUAAGUCUAAUUUGUGGUCCAUUGCAGCUUAAAUUAUUCCUCACUGAUUAAUUGGGGGUAAUUACACAUUUAAUGUCAGUUGAAGUCUAAUGUGCUGUUAAAACUUUCUUUUUUGUUAGGAGGCUAUUGGAAACAGGAUC